CUCACGCCUUACAUUCAGACCCUUGGAAUAUCGCACGCUUUUUCUUCUUUUAUUUGGCUCUGCGGCCCUAUUACAGGCCUUGUGGUCCAGCCUUGUGUUGGUAUUUGGAGUGAUAAAUGUACUUCGAAGUAUGGAGAAGACGACCGUUUAUUCUCGUGGGAUCACUCAUGAUCUCAAUAGCAACAUUGGGUAUCUUUUAGGAGAUACAAAGGAACAUUGCAG